CAGUGAGAAAGUAACUCGGCAUCCUCAAGAACAAUGCAAGAAGAAGCAAGACCUCAAGAAGGUUAAACAGCAUACCUAAGGCCAUAUUGUAUCUUUAAUAGUGGCUAAGCAGUAUCUACCUAACUGUCCAUCUAUGCAUCUAUCCAUCUAUCCAUCUACCUACUUAUCUACCUGCCUACCUAGAGGACCAUCUGCCUCCAUGGUCCAAGUGAUUUUUUCAACAUCAUGGCACCUCAUACAGUACAAAUGGACGAGUGUUUUUUUAUUUGGCAACCUGAUUGUGUCAAUAGUUCAUAGUGUUUGGAACAUAAAGGCUAUUGAAAAUGUCACAUGAAUUUUCAUGUGUAUAACCCAUAAAGCUUAUAAAGUCAUCCUGCAUUAUAUAACCACUUUAGAGCAGAAAAUCUUUUGAAGUCAGGUUAAUUUCUUGUGGCCAUUCAGCACCACUGCAUUUUCUAGCCAUGAAAAAUUAAGUGGAUUAGAGAGUUCUAGCUGCUUUGUAAUCGCAAAGACUAGUGCAGAAGACGAAAAGGCAUUCUGAAUAAUAGAAAAGCAUAUAGUCAGAGCUGAAAGGGAUAGCAGGCACAUGUGUAUUUCAAAGGGGCUUGCGGUUGUGCCCGUCUAAAAAUCAGGCAGUAUCUACAGUAUAUUUACUCACAUAUACUUGAAGACAUGAAUGAUGGAUAUUAGACUUAGACAUGUAUAACUGAGAUAGUUCCAAUUUUUAACUUUAGAAAGAUUUGGGAGAUAAAACCUGUCUCUUAGCUUCAUUUUCAGUCAUUAAACAUGAAUUUCGAAAGCCCAUCAUCCCACUUUCAAGAAUGUGCCUAAGAUUUUUGUUAUCACCAAGGCUUCCUGCUACUACUGUAUUUUCCCCUUAUCUUUGUGUAGG
rnacentral:lncRNA from 10 species